AACGAACGCUGGCGGCAUGCCUAACACAUGCAAGUCGAACGAGACCUUCGGGUCUAGUGGCGCACGGGUGCGUAACGCGUGGGAAUCUGCCCUUAGGUUCGGAAUAACUCAGGGAAACUUGAGCUAAUACCGGAUAAUGACGCAAGUCCAAAGAUUUAUCGCCUAGGGAUGAGCCCGCGUAGGAUUAGCUAGUUGGUGGGGUAAAAGCCUACCAAGGCGACGAUCCUUAGCUGGUCNGAGAGGAUGAUCAGCCACACUGGGACUGAGACACGGCCCAGACUCCUACGGGAGGCAGCAGUGGGAAUAUUGGACAAUGGGCGAAAGCCUGAUCCAGCAAUGCCGCGUGAGUGAUGAAGGCCUUAGGGUUGUAAAGCUCUUUUACCGGGAUGAUAAUGACAGUACCGGGAGAAUAAGCUCCGGCUAACUCCGUGCCAGCAGCCGCGGUAAU
rnacentral:rRNA from 1 species